rnacentral:misc_RNA from 1 species
GGAUUGCGCUAGCGCUGCUGUACAUGGAAGGUGUAGUAGUUGCAGAGGAUCCUUACAGAUACUUCGACUGGAGAAUCACUUAUGGCGAUAUACAUCCUCUUGGUGUCCGCCAACAGGGAAUUCUCAUAAAUGGCCAAUUUCCGGGUCCUGAUAUAUACAGCGUUACAAAUGACAACCUUAUCAUCAACGUCCAUAAUCACUUGCCUCACCCUUUUCUUCUCACUUGGAAUGGACUCCAACAAAGAAAAAAUUCAUUUCAAGAUGGUGUAUAUGGAACAACAUGUCC